AAAUUAAGAGUACAGCAGUCCGAAUAAAUCCUGUCACAAAAGCAAGAAAACCCACUAUAACUAACUUUGGGAAUCGAGGCUCCCCGAAACAGUUCUGGAGUUGGAGUUUUCAUCGGUACUCUGGGAACAGAGCCUGCCACCCGACACCCCAGCUGGAGCAGAAAACAGUGUGGUGCUUUCUCAAGAAGUUCAACAUGGAAUUACCACGUGACCCAGCAAUUCCACUCCUAGGAGUAGUUCUUAUGUAUUGUACAGCAUUCUGCAAAUGAAGAAAACACAGAAGGGCCACCUGGCUGGCUCAGUUGGUGGACUGUCAGUGCAACACCU